CAGCCCGCGACAUCACCCUCGUCUCAGUCCAACGCGACCACUAUGACUCACGCGCUCCUCACGUUUGCAGUCUCGUCUCUGUGGAUCCACACAGUUCAGUGUGUGACCCAGCAUCAGGGGGUGACCCAGCACCCGGCCAUCAGCUGGAGCUAUGUGUCCAAAUCUGCAGAGAUGAACUGCAGCCACAACAAAGACAUUAGUCACACCCAGAUGUACUGGUACAGACAGCGUCAAGGAGAGACCAUGAGCCUCAUCGUCUACACGGUUUACGGAGGGAAGCCACAAUAUGAAGGGGCUGAAGGCAAAUACUCAGCCGUCAAAGACAGCAUUGAGACCGGGGCUCUUACUGUGAAAGACCUGACGCCUGAGGACAGCGCUGUUUACUUCUGUGCUGUCAGCAAACACAGUGAUGUGAGACGUUCCAGCAGCUGAACAAAAACCCAUCAAUAAAUCUGGUGAUUAUUAUUAUG